CCUUUUCUGCUGACGAGUGGCGGACGGGUGAGUAAAGUAUGGGGAUCUGCCGAAUGGAGGGGGACAACUGCUGGAAACGGCAGCUAAUACCGCAUAAAGUUGAGAGACCAAAGCGUGGGACUUUUUAGCCACGCGCCAUUUGAUGAACCCAUAUGGGAUUAGCUUGUUGGUAGGGUAAUGGCUUACCAAGGCGACGAUCUCUAGCUGGUCUGAGAGGAUGACCAGCCACACUGGAACUGAGACACGGUCCAGACUCCUAUGGGAGGCAGCAGUGGGGGAUAUUGCACAAUGGGGGAAACCCUGAUGCAGCCAUGCCGCGUGUAUGAAGAAGGCUUUCGGGUUGUAAAGUACUUUCGGUAAUGAGGAAGGUGUAUUAUCUAACAGGUAAUGCAAUUGACGUUAGUUACAGAAGAAGCACCGGCUAACUCCGUGCCAGCAGCCGCGGUAAUACGGAGGGUGCGAGCGUUAAUCGGAAUAACUGGGCGUAAAGGGCAUGCAGGCGGGUCAUUAAGUUAGGUGUGAAAUCCCCGGGCUCAACCUGGGAACUGCACUUAAAACUGGUGGUCUGGAGUAUUGUAGAGGAAGGUAGAAUUCCACGUGUAGCGGUGAAAUGCGUAGAGAUGUGGAGGAAUACCGGUGGCGAAGGCGGCCUUCUGGACAAAUACUGACGCUGAGAUGCGAAAGCGUGGUGAGCAAACAGGAUUAGA
rnacentral:rRNA from 1 species